GUCGUAACAAGGUUUCCGUAGGUGAACCUGCGGAAGGAUCAUUACCACACCUAAAAAACUUUCCACGUGAACUGUCGUUAUUUGUUGUGUGUCUGCGCGUUGCUGGCGUGCGUUUGCUUACGCUUCGGUGUUUGCGAGUGCGUGCUGGCGGUGCGCGGACUGAACGAAGGUCGUGUUGCUGUGUGCCUGCUGCACUGCUGACUUUGCAUUGAUUUGCAUGGUCUUGGCGGAGCGGCGGGUGCUGUGCGUGCGCGGCUGACUUACUUUUUCAAACCCCAUACCUAACUUACUGAUUAUACUGUGAGAACGAAAGUUCUUGCUUUUAACUAGAUAACAACUUUCAACAACGGAUCUCUUGGCUCUC
rnacentral:misc_RNA from 1 species